CCAGCAUGGAAGGAGUCUAGCCAGUGUUUUCUACUGGAGAAGGAAAGGCAAUGUGGGGGAGAAAAUCAAGACACCCUAGCUGAUGGCCAGCAACCACUCCCAAACGAGCCCUGGGAUGUCAUGUCAGAAGUCCACUGCCCUGAGACUGCCAUGCUGGAGAGGCCAUGUAAAGGUGAUCUGGUCAACAGUCUUCCUUCAGGCAUCCUUGUCAAAGCAUAGAUAUGUGAGUGAACUCAUCUGAGAUUUUCCACUGGCCAACUGAACACUACUAAGUGACCCCAUAUGGGCUGCCUUCUUAGGGACAGCUGCAGCCCCCAUCCCCCCACACAUGAGCUGCCUUGGGUCACG